rnacentral:rRNA from 1 species
AACUAACGCUGGCGGCGUGCCUAACACAUGCAAGUCGUGCGAGAAAGUCGGCUUCGGCUGAUGAGUAAAGUGGCGCACGGGUGAGUAACGCGUGGAUAAUCUGCCCUUGAGUGUGGAAUAACGUACCGAAAGGUGCGCUAAUACCGCAUAAUGCCUGGCAACACAAGUUGUCCGGCCAAAGAAGGCCUCUGUUUACAAGCUUUUGCUCAAGGAUGAGUCCGCGUACCAUUAGCUAGUUGGUGGGGUAACGGCCUACCAAGGCUACGAUGGUUAGCUGGUCUGAGAGGAUGAUCAGCCACACUGGAACUGAGACACGGUCCAGACUCCUACGGGAGGCAGCAGUGAGGAAUAUUGCGCAAUGGGGGCAACCCUGACGCAGCAACGCCGCGUGAGUGAGGAAGGUUUUCGGACUGUAAAGCUCUGUCGAGCGGGAAGAAAUGUACCAUGGCUAAUAUCCAUGAUAUUUGACGGUACCG